rnacentral:rRNA from 1 species
AUUGAACGCUGGCGGCAUGCCUUACACAUGCAAGUCGAACGGCAGCGGACCUUCGGGUGCCGGCGAGUGGCGAACGGGUGAGUAAUAUAUCGGAACGUACCUUUCAGUGGGGGAGUAACGUAGCGAAAGUUACGCUAAUACCGCAUAUUCUGUGAGCAGGAAAGCAGGGGAGUCGCAAGACCUUGCGCUGAUUGAGCGGCCGAUAUCAGAUUAGCUAGUUGGUGAGGUAAAGGCUCACCAAGGCGACGAUCUGUAGCGGGUCUGAGAGGAUGAUCCGCCACACUGGAACUGAGACACGGUCCAGACUCCUACGGGAGGCAGCAGUGGGGAAUUUUGGU